GCAUGGCUAAAGCAUGCAAGUCGAACGCGAAAGGGUCUUCGGACCCAAGUAGAGUGGCGAACGGGCGAGUAAUACGUUCCUAACGUGCCCCAGAGCCGGGGAUAGCGGGGGGAAAGUCGCGGUAAUACCCGAUAACCUCCGCGAAUCGCAUGGUUUGCGGAGCAAAGUUCCGGCGCUCUGGGAUCGGGGAACGCGCUAUCAGGUUGUUGGUAGGGUAACGGCUUACCAAGCCUAAGACGGCUAGCGGGUGUGAGAGCAUGACCCGCCGCAUCGGGACUGAGACACUGCCCGGACUCCUACGGGAGGCUGCAGCGAGGAAUCUUCCCCAAUGCGCGAAAGCGUGAGGGAGCAAUGCCGCGUGCGGGAUGAAGCCCUUCGGGGUGUAAACCGCUGUCAGGAGCUAGGAAUUCUGACCCGCUCCAAAGGAAGGGCCGGCUAACUUCGUGCCAGCAGCCGCGGUAAUACGAAGGGCCCAAGCGUUAAUCGGAAUCACUGGGCUUAAAGCGUGCGUAGGCGGACAUGUAAGUGUUUUGUGAAAUCCCACGGCUCAACCGUGGAACUGCAGGGCAUACUGCAUGUCUUGAGGCCGGUAGAGGCGGCCGGAACUGUAGGUGUAGCGGUGAAAUGCGUAGAUAUCUACAGGAACGCCAAAGGUGAAGACAGGCCGCUGGGCCGGACCUGACGCUGAGGCACGAAAGCGUGGGGAGCAAACAGGAUUAGAUACCCUGGUAGUCCACGCCGUAAACAUUGUGUACUAGGUGCCGGAGGUUUUGACGCCAUCGGUGCCGUAGCGGAAGCGUUAAGUACACCGCCUGGGGAGUACGGUCGCAAGGCUAAAACUCAAAGGAAUUGACGGGGGCUCACACAAGCGGUGGAGCAUGUGGCUUAAUUCGAGGCAACGCGAAGAACCUUAUCCUGGGUUUGACAUGCAUGGAUUAACUCUGUGAAAACAGAGCCACGCCCUUUGGGUGGAACAUGCACAGGUGCUGCAUGGCUGUCGUCAGCUCGUGCUGUGAAGUGCAGGGUUAAGUCCCUUAACGAGCGAAACCCCUGUCGCUAGUUGCUAACAGGUUAUGCUGAGGACUCUAGCGAGACUGCCGGUGUCAAACCGGAGGAAGGUGGGGAUGACGUCAAGUCCUCAUGGCCUUUAUGCCCAGGGCUGCACACGUGCUACAAUGGUAGGUACAGAGCGAAGCAAAACCGCGAGGUGGAGCAAAUCGCACAAAGCCUGCCCCAGUUCGGAUCGCAGUCUGCAACUCGACUGCGUGAAGCUGGAAUCGCUAGUAAUCGCGCAUCACCUACGACGCGGUGAAUACGUUCCUGAGCCUUGUACACACCGCCCGUCAAGUCAUGGAAGCCGGGAGUGCCCGAAGUCG
rnacentral:rRNA from 1 species